GUGCAGCAGGCAAGAAACCUCCGCAAUGCUCGAAAGAGCGACGGGGGGACUCCAAGUGCCCACGCUUUGCGUAGGCUUUUCCCAAGCCUAAAAAGCUUGGGGAAUAAGGGCUGGGUAAGACGGGUGCCAGCCGCCGCGGUAAUACCCGCAGCCCGAGUGGUGGCCGCUUUUAUUGGGCCUAAAGCGUCCGUAGCCGGUCUGGUAAAUGCCUGGGUAAAUCGUCUGGCUCAACCAGACGAAUUCCGGGUAGACUGCCAGACUAGGGACCGGAGGAAGGAGAGGGUACUCCGGGGGUAGGGGUGAAAUCAGCAAGGUGAGUUGUUGAUGUAACUUGCCUUGCAAGUCACAAUCCUGUAAUCCUCGGAGGACCACCGGUGGCGAAGGCUCUCUCCUAGGACGGGUCCGACGGUGAGGGACGAAAGCCAGGGGAGCAAACCGGAUUAGAUACCCCUGUAGU
rnacentral:rRNA from 1 species